rnacentral:rRNA from 1 species
CGCCCCUCGAGAACUAUACAUGAGGGGUCCUGCCUGCCCAGUGACCAAGGUUAAACGGCCGCGGUAUCUUGACCGUGCAAAGGUAGCAUAAUCACUUGUCUCCUAAAUAGAGACUGGUAUGAAUGGCAAGACGGAGCUAAACUGUCUCUUUUUUUCAACCCUAAAUUUACUUUCACGUGAAGAGGCGUGAAUAAAAUCGUUAGACGAGAAGACCCUGUCGAGCUUAAAGUAAAAAAUAAGACCAUUUUAUUAACCUAAAAAUACUAAUUAAUAAAUUUAUAGUAACUAGAUUUUAACGUUCUUAUCAAAACUUUGGUUGGGGCAACCGCGGAAAAAGAAAAUCUUCCGCUAAAAUUAUUAAAACAAGGAAAACUAUCCUAAUAUCAAAAAUGAAAUAGUGAUCCACUCAGGUGAUCAAAGGAACAAGUUACCGCAGGGAUAACAGCGUUAUCUUUUUUGAGAGUUCACAUUGACAAAAAGGUUUGCGACCUCGAUGUUGGAUCGGGACAUCCUAAGGGUGCAGAAGCUUUUAAGGGUUGGUCUGUUCGACCAUUAAAGUCCUACGUGAUCUGAGUUCAGACCGGCGAAAGC